GACAGAGGGUGCAAACGUUGUUCGGAAUUACUGGGCGUAAAGCGCGUGUAGGCGGCCAUCUAAGUCGGGCGUGAAAUCCCACGGCUCAACCGUGGAAGUGCACUCGAAACUGGAUGGCUAGAGUCCUGGAGAGGAAGGUGGAAUGCUUGGUGUAGAGGUGAAAUUCGUAGAUAUCAAGCGGAACACCGGUGGCGAAGGCGGCCUUCUGGACAGUGACUGACGCUGAGACGCGAAGGCGUGGGGAGCGAACGGGG
rnacentral:rRNA from 1 species